AGCGUAGGACGCAAGCGUUAUCCGGAAUUACUGGGCGUAAAGCGCGCGCAGGCGGGUAUAGAAGUCCCAUGUGAAAGCUCAUGGCUAAACUGCGAGAGGUAACGUGAGACUGUAUGUCUAGAGACUGCAAGAGGUCUGUGGAAUUCCGCGUGUAGUGGUGAAAUUCGUAGACAUGCGGCGGAACACCAGUGGCGAAGGCGGCAUACUGGGGCAAUACUGACGCUGAGGUGCGAAAGCAUGGGUAGCGAACGGG
rnacentral:rRNA from 1 species